rnacentral:tRNA from 1 species
GCGUCUGUAGCGCAAUGGAUAGCGCAUCGGUCUUCGGAACCGAGGGUUGGGGGUUCGAGUCCCUCCAGGCGUG